AGAGUUUGAUCAUGGCUCAGAUUGAACGCUGGCGGCAUGCCUAACACAUGCAAGUCGAACGGCAGCAUGGUCUAGUUUACUAGACUGAUGGCGAGUGGCGCACGGGUGAGUAACGCGUAGGAAUAUACCUUGAAGAGUGGGAUAACUUGGGGAAACUUAAGCUAAUACCGCAUAGAUUCUGAGGAAGAAAGCUGGGGACCGCAAGGCCUGGCGCUUUAAGCAUAGCCUGCGUCCGAUUAGCUAGUUGGUGGGGUAAAGGCCUACCAAGGCGACGAUCGGUAGCUGGUCUGAGAGGACGGACAGCCACACUGGGACUGAGACACGGCCCAGACUCUUACGGGAGGCAGCAGUGGGGAAUAUUGGACAAUGGGGGGAACCCUGAUCCAGCAAUGCCGCGUGUGUGAAGAAGGCCUGAGGGUUGUAAAGCACUUUCAGUGGGGAGGAGUGAUUGAUUGGUUAAGAGCUGAUUGAUUGGACGUUACCCACAGAAGAAGCACCGGCUAACUCCGUGCCAGCAGCCGCGGUAAUACGGAGGGUGCGAGCGUUAAUCGGAAUUACUGGGCAAAGGGUGCGUAGGUGGUUGAUUAAGUUAGUUGUGAAAGACCCAAGCUCAACUUGGGCAAGCCAACUAAGACUGAAUGACUGGAGUAUAGGAGAGGGUAGUGGAAUUUCCGGUGUAGCGGUGAAAUGCGUAGAGAUCGGAAGGAACACCGGUGGCGAAGGCGGCUACCUGGCCUAAUACUGACACUGAGGCACGAAAGCGUGGGGAGCAAACAGGAUUAGAUACCCUAGUAGUCC
rnacentral:rRNA from 1 species